rnacentral:rRNA from 1 species
UUGAACGCUGGCGGCAUGCCUUACACAUGCAAGUCGAACGGUAGAGGGGCAACCCUUGAGAGUGGCGAACGGGUGAGUAAUAUAUCGGAACGUGCCCAGUCGUGGGGGAUAACGCAGCGAAAGCUGCGCUAAUACCGCAUACGAUCUAUGGAUGGAAGCGGGGGAUCGCAAGACCUCGCGCGAUUGGAGCGGCCGAUAUCAGAUUAGGUAGUUGGUGGGGUAAAAGCCCACCAAGCCGACGAUCUGUAGCUG